GUGGCCCGAAUUCACAAAGGUGGACUAAAGUUAUACCCGGGGUAUAAAACGCGUCAUUUGACGUCAUUUUAAUCCAUGGACUAAAGUUAGUACCUAGGUACUAACUUUUGCGAUUCACAAAGGUGGACUAAAGUUAUACCGGGGUAUAAAACGCGUCAUUUGACGUCACGAUUUAGUCAGCUCUUUGGGGUGGACUAAAUCGGUGGAUUAAAGUUAGUCCACGGUUUUAACCAAUCAGAGAGCAGCAUUGCGGUUGCAGAAAAGUUUGCUGCAAAAAAAAAGUUUUUUGGACGGAGACGAGAUUCGGUGUGAUCGGCUUAUCUAAAGCUUAAAAUUUCACGACUUCGACCGAGAUUAAACAGACCAUACUCGGCAGAUUGUGAGAUUGUGAUCAAUCAAGACGACAAACAUGGCUCACAUUUUUGAACUGCUGUGCCUUCUUGCAACAGAGUGAGAUUCAGCAACACAUAGGAAGACCACAGCAUGGAUUAAGAGACAGGAAGAAUCCAUUUGAAUGCUACAAGGAUGAACCUUUCAGAGUGGGCUACCAACAGAGAGAAACGACACAUUGCCUGACAUGUUACAUGUUUUGACAGGACUUUGUUUUUAUGCCAUUGGUACCUUUUAGAAGAUGCAAGCAGACAAAGCAACUAUAUCAUAGUCAUCCGUGUGCAGAAUCAUCAAAGAUUUUUCUGAGGCAAUGGCAAGGAGUAACAGUUAAUGAAGUGUCCGAUGACGAGAAAUUCAAACCACCCAGCGACAAUUUGAUGAUUGCUACAGGUUUCCAAGAGUCGUAGGUGCUAUCGAUUGGGGCCAUGUCUACAUCAGGAGUCCUGAUGGGGAACAAGCCCUGUACUUAGCAGGAAGAACAGGUCUUCUGUAAAUGUAUAGGUAUCCGUUGCUCCUCUCUUUGAUGAAUUCCUGCCUGCAUUCUGUUGUCAAUAGAAAAGGACCAUGUGCUUCGGGUAUUAAGCAUUCCAUUGGAUUAUCUGUGUAUGAAAGUGGACACUUGUGAUCACAAAAUGGUAGCUUAGUUGAUAGGAUGUAUUCAUGCAUUCCGAUUUAUGAUCAAAUGACCAUCUUGCUUUUAAAAACCCAAAUUCACAACAUUUUUCUUGUUUGACAAAAGGUUUGGGAUGUGAAUUCCAGGAAAUAAAUGACACACACGAUGGGCUAAUGUAUAAGCAGGGAUGUGAGAGGUAUAAGCAACAUUUUGCUCAUGCUUAACUAAGUUUGGCAUGAGAUGGUCUUGGUCAUUCUUAUGAUUCAAGUCUAUUUUUAUACCAUUU
rnacentral:lncRNA from 1 species